AAGGAGAACACUGUUCGAAUCGAAGCUACUGUUUGCUCCACCAAGCUGCCUGCUUUGCUAGCAUCCCAGGCAUGAUAAGCAACGGAGUAAAAGGCAGCACUACGAGUGAGAGCCUCCACGCCUGGGUGAAGCCGACUAAGUAGCAGCCGAGGAACUGAGUCGCAUUUCGGAUAAAGCUCCCCGUCUGCAGAGACAAGCCGAAGAGGCGUCAGUGGAGAUGCUGUUGACGACGUCACCGGUGGUGACAUUCGUGUCAAAAUAAGCUACAUUCUGCCGUAGGACGGAUCUGAGGUACGACGCGAUCCAUGCCCCCAGUGCGAUAUACACGAAGACUUGAGCGUUCUGGAGCAAGAACAACAUCAGCAAAAGAGACAAAGCAAGAGCAAGAAGAACAUCGUCAAAAGACAGAGCAAGAACAGUAAAAGGGAUGGCGAGUCCAUUGGCAAUGGCUCCCAGGCUGCCUGCGGCGAUGAGAAGAAAAUCGAAUGCAUCCGCGUGCUUGAAG